CCGCGUCGCUCCGGACGUCCACAGUGCGCACACCUGAUCCCUGGAUCACCUGAGGUAGUCCGCUAAACAGAGGCGCAGGAUUCAUGUGGAAAACACGCCGAUGUUUGGGCAAGAAGUGUCGGAAUAAAUGAGCUGAACAGAUCCGGUUCCCCUCGGAAUGCCGACAGGCACAGUAUCGGCUGCUACUCUGGCACACCUUGCCACACACUCCAACCAAAAAAUUCAGGGCAGACCCUGUAGAGAUGGAUAAAAUAUGGAUAAUUUUGUCCUGAAGAAGCUAAACAAGAGAACUUGGAGGUUCUUAUACCAGCUUUUACCAAGUUCUUUACAGGUUGGGACCAACAUAGUUAGAUUCUUGUGAGAGGCUAAGGUGACAAAACCAUUCCCUUUUGUCCUUGGCUUGGAAGAUCUGUGCCAUCAAGCCUUCAUCUUUUUUGACAGACAGUCACUUCAGCAAUACACCCUUAUUGGUGCUGUUGACAUGUUUUAAACUUUUUUUUAUGUUUUGGACAUUAAUUUUACCAAGCAGUGCACACCAGUGUGGGUGUUUUUGCAGACCGUCGUUUACAAAUUUCCAAGAACGAAGUCCCCUAAGAAGUCUGUGUAGUUAUUUGUCAUGCUAAAGUGAUCAAUUUUGUUGAUCAUUUGUUGCCUGUUUGUGCAACUUUCUUAUUUGUUACAUUAACCGUUUCUUAUUACAAGGUUCUCUUGUCUAUUGAUAACAUAUCCAACAUUAAAUUUACAAAUGAUUAAACCAAUGUGUACGUGACAUUUGUCCUUUAGAAACUGUCGGGGCUUUUUUCUGUGAUAACC